GAUGAAGAACGCAGCGAAAUGCGAUACGUAAUGUGAAUUGCAGAAUUCAGUGAAUCAUCGAGUCUUUGAACGCACAUUGCGCCCCCUGGUAUUCCGGGGGGCAUACCUGUCCGAGCGUCAUUGCCGCCCUCAAGCACGGCUUGUGUGUUGGGCCUCCGUCCUCCUCCCGGGGGACGGGCCCGAAAGGCAGCGGCGGCACCGCGUCCGGUCCUCGAGCGUAUGGGGCUUCGUCACCCGCUCUUGUAGGCCCGGCCGGCGCUUGCCGACACAUCAAUCUUUUUUCCAGGUUGACCUCGGAUCAGGUAGGGAUACCCGCUGAACUUAAGCAUAUCAAUAAGCGGAGGA
rnacentral:misc_RNA from 1 species